UAGAGUUUUGAUCAUGGCUCAGGACGAACGCUGGCGGCGUGCCUAAUACAUGCAAGUCGAGCGGACUGAUGGGAGCUUGCUCCCUGAAGUCAGCGGCGGACGGGUGAGUAACACGUGGGUAACCUGCCUGUAAGACUGGGAUAACUCCGGGAAACCGGGGCUAAUACCGGAUAGUUCUUUUCCUCGCAUGAGGAAAAGUGGAAAGGCGGCUUCGGCUGCCACUUACAGAUGGACCCGCGGCGCAUUAGCUAGUUGGUGAGGUAACGGCUCACCAAGGCAACGAUGCGUAGCCGACCUGAGAGGGUGAUCGGCCACACUGGGACUUAGACACGGCCCAAACUCCUACGGGAGGCAGCAGUAGGGAAUCUUCCGCAAUGGACGAAAGUCUGACGGAACAACGCCGCGUGAGUGAUGAAGGUUUUCGGAUCGUAAAGCUCUGUUGUUAGGGAAGAACAAGUGCCGUUCGAAUAGGGCGGCCCCUUGACGGUACCUAACCAGAAAGCCACGGSU
rnacentral:rRNA from 1 species